GCCAAUGAUGCUAUGCCCAACAUUUUGACGUGCAGAUGGCUCCAGGAUCCUGUUUACAGGAUGAACCUACCUGGAGGCGCUGUAUCCACAUGACAUCCAAUGGGCAAGUCUGAGGU
rnacentral:snoRNA from 3 species